AUUGAACGCUGGCGGCAGGCCUAACACAUGCAAGUCGAACGAGUGGCGGACGGGUGAGUACUGUCUGUGAAACUGCCCGAUGGCGGGGGAUAACUACUGGAAACAGUAGCUAAUACCGCAUACCAUGGCAUGUGCCCAGAUGGGAUUAGCUAGUGGGAGGGGUAACGGCUAACCUAGGCGACGAUCCCUAGCAGGUCUGAGAGGAUGACCAGCCACACGGGAACUGAGACACGGUCCAGACUCCUACGGGAGGCAGCAGUGGGGAAGAUUGCACAAUGGGCGCAAGCCUGAUGCAGCCAUGCCGCGUGUAUGAAGAAGGCCUUCGGGUUGUAAAGUACUUUCAGCGAGGAGGCGUUACUCGCAGAAGAAGCACCGGCUAACUCCGUGCCAGCCGCCGCGGUAAUUC
rnacentral:rRNA from 1 species